UAUCGCGGGUUAUUUUUAGAACGUAACUCCCACGAUAAACGAGGGACCACUGUAUCAUUAAUAGUGUCUGGGACAUCUAAUUGAUUAACAUCAACACUGAUUAUCAUGCACUGUUAUUUUUGUUCAAGGACAGCAAAAAAUAUAAAACUCUCUCCCAGCUUGUUCGUUGGCCACUUUUUUGGCCAAUGUUAUAAAAAGCUAUAAAAUGUAUAUUUAUUAAAACAUUUAUCGACUUUUACCGAUUUGACACUUAAAAUUAGUUGCAGUCCUUUUCAUCAAAACCAAAAUUUUAUCUACAUCCUUUUUUUUUACUCUUUAAAUGCCAGUUAGGUUAGGUUAUAUAUUACCAGUAACUUUUCAGAUAAGCAGGUGAUGAAGUCCUAAUGUUUUCAUGAAACUUCCUUUUUUUUUUUUUCAUCUGAGCAUCGGGGACAAGGCGCUCUUGCAAUUGUUGAGGUCACUAGUGUGUGCCCCAUUUCUUCCAGGAUCACUCUUCAUUUGUAGGUUUUAGAGGACUCCUACUGUGAAGUGGUUUUCAUGGGACAAAGGCUUCUAUUCCAAGAUGUGGGAGAUUGUAGAAAUGAGCAGUAAUGCCCUUCUUGCCAUCUUUCCAGAAAAAUAAGUGAUCUUGAAGCUGUUACAGCAGUAGCACUUAUUGCACCUGCACAAACUCCAGGAAACAUUUACUAACAGUGUUUGUUGCUGUAUGUGCAGCAGCUUUGAAUUUUUUUUAUUUUUUUUUUUGAGAGUUAAUAUUUUGGCUAUGCUAUCUUGUUAUGAAAUCUACAAGAGUGAAAGUGUUUUUAGCAUGUGUUUCAGAGCUAAGUUUGACUGGGAAACUCAAAGCUCAAUAGCCUGUAUCAACAGAGAUUCAUUGCAGCCUGUGUAAUAUUUGAUGCGUCAUAAUUUAUUGUCUAAGGAGCUUGGAAAGAAAAGCGUCUGGACUUCUUUGAGUUGCUUGAAGCAAAUCUAGACCCAUUCAUUCCAUUUCCAUUAACGCAGCAAAAAUGGUCAAAAAAGUGAAGUGGCCACAAAUGGCCUGGAUAGUUGCCCAGAGGGUUAAUGCGUAAAAUGUAUAAAAAUAUUAUUGAUUGCAGGGUAAUACAUUAAUCGAACAUCGAAUUUCCCAGAGGAACCCACCCGAGGGAUUAAUAAAGUUCUAUCUAAUCUGAUCUAAUGUUAAUAGCAACUGUAAGCUUUUUAUUUUGAAAUUGCAUUGUGUUAGUUUAAAGCAAAAAUCUUUAAGUCAUCUAUGUUGUAUGAACAUAAAUGAUACAUUUACAGGUUAGAUGGUUUAGAUUAGUUACUUAAACACAUUUCUUAUUUUUGGCAGUAAAAUGUUAAAUUUAAGUUAGAUUAAUUCAAAUAUUAUAUUUUCAGCCACCUUAUGCUUUAUUAAUUAGUUUUACAUAAAUCUAUUUUGUCAACAGAUUCCACACAAAUGAAUUAAGUACAUCCAACUCAUUUUUUUAAUUUCCUUUAUUGCCAACACAUUCAGUGAGCAUUUCUGUAAAUCCAGUCUGAAACAAAACACAACAGCUCAUUCGGGUCAGUAAGUAACAUCACUGAAGUCUGAGUUGACACAAUGUUCCUACCAUAUUAUAAGGUUACAUUUGCUAAGCUCGGCAGUAAGCGUGUACUUACUUUCUUACUUACUUACCGUUUCCACUGUAUCCAUGCAGGGAACGCCUACUGUGGAGGUCACAUGUUUCCGGUUACUGUGGAGGUCGCAAUACAGCGCUCCCCAGUGGCUGCAGCCAGACCCUUCUCACCUCAUCUGCAACUUAUUCUUCACCAGCUGCUACCAAUCAUCCACCAUCUUAGGCAGGACUAUUUAAUGGAAUUGGGACGGAGGAUACACGAGCACAAGGAGACACUUGGAGGAGAGACGGGCACCCACUACCACGCACAGUCUGAGCACCAGCCACUAUUGCACAGUCAAACUAUUGUCAGCCUUUAUCCACUGUAAAUAAAUGCACUGGUUAUAUUCAGA